GAUGAACGCUGACAGAAUGCUUAACACAUGCAAGUCAACUUGAACUUCGGUUUGGGUGGCGGACGGGUGAGUAACGCGUAAAGAACUUGCCUCACAGUUAGGGACAACAUUUGGAAACGAAUGCUAAUACCUGAUAUUAUGAUUUUAGGGCAUCCUAGAAUUAUGAAAGCUAUAUGCGCUGUGAGAGAGCUUUGCGUCCCAUUAGCUAGUUGGAGAGGUAACGGCUCACCAAGGCGAUGAUGGGUAGCCGGCCUGAGAGGGUGAACGGCCACAAGGGGACUGAGACACGGCCCUUACUCCUACGGGAGGCAGCAGUGGGGAAUAUUGGACAAUGGACCAAGAGUCUGAUCCAGCAAUUCUGUGUGCACGAUGAAGUUUUUCGGAAUGUAAAGUGCUUUCAGUUGGGAAGAAAAAAAUGACGGUACCAACAGAAGGAGUGACGGCUAAAUACGUG
rnacentral:rRNA from 1 species